CCACGCUCCGCACUUGCUGGCGCAAUGAAAAUGACGUACGACCAGAAAUGACGGCCCCUCUUCUCCCGUUUGUAGAAAGAUGUUCCUGGUGGCCCAUCGAAGAAACCAAACAGAAAGAAGUCUCCCCAAAAAGCAAGAAAAAUCUCAAAAUCUUCUUUAUGGGAGAGUCCAGGAAAUAACAAACCUCCUGUCUCGUUUGCGUGUGGCGCACGGAGAAACAGAUGGCACGGGCGAGGAUAGCCGCCAGACGGAAGGAGGGAAAGCGAGAGAGGAAGAAAAUGGCAAGCAUGGUGUUGGGUGCGAGAGGACAAUGACGAGACCCAUGGUGCCCCUAUUAAGCAGCAGCCUCAAGGCGAGUGGAUUAGCCUGAAUAGUCGGCGCUCCCCAGGUACAGGAUUUGCUUUACAUUAGCCCACUUUGCCCUUGGCAGCCACUGCUGCUUAGGUC